rnacentral:rRNA from 1 species
GUCUAUAGUCAUACUACCCUGAAAUCUUUGAUGUAGAAAGCUAAGCCAGAUCAGACCCAGUUAGUACUUGGAUGGGAGAAUGCCUAGAAAUACUAGGUGCUAUUGGCU